ACACCGAACACCAUCUGUAUUACUAGGCAUAAAUCUAUCCUCUCUGGCAAAAUGGUUUGAUUCAGAAACUCAUGUAAAAGUCCUCUCUGAAAGUAAAUUUGAUGGAGCUGAGCACUUUGGAGGCCAGCCACAAUGGCAGUGUCACUAUGUGAGACAGGUGCAAGAGUGAGGCUGUCCUUUAAGAGGUUCAGUGGGAAUUGAGACUUGGAGCCAAAGACAGAAGUGAAGGAGAAAGAAAAAAAUGCUUUUAAAAUAAUUUUGCAGUCA